UACGAAGGGGGCUAGCGUUGCUCGGAAUGACUGGGCGUAAAGGGCGCGUAGGCGGUUUGAUUAGUUAGGCGUGAAAUUCCCGGGCUCAACCUGGGAACUGCGUUUAAUACAGUCAGACUUGAGUUCGGAAGAGGGUCGUGGAAUUCCCAGUGUAGAGGUGAAAUUCGUAGAUAUUGGGAAGAACACCGGUGGCGAAGGCAGCUUUCUAACCUAUACCUGACGCUGAGGCGCGAAAGCGUGGGGAGCAAACAGG
rnacentral:rRNA from 1 species